rnacentral:rRNA from 1 species
ACACGAAGGGGGCAAGCGUUGUUCGGAAUAACUGGGCGUAAAGCGCACGUAGGCGGAAUGUUAAGUUAGAGGUGAAAUCCCAGGGCUCAACCCUGGAACUGCCUUUAAUACUGGCAAUCUAGAGACCGAGAGAGGUGAGUGGAAUUCCGAGUGUAGAGGUGAAAUUCGUAGAUAUUCGGAGGAACACCAGUGGCGAAGGCGGCUCACUGGCUCGGUACUGACGCUGAGGUGCGAAAGCGUGGGGAGCAAACAGGAUUAGAAACCCUAGUAGUCC